rnacentral:rRNA from 1 species
AUCUUAGCGGCGGAUGGGUGAGGAACGCGUGGAGAACCUGCCCUUCACAGGGGGAUAACAGCUGGAAACGGCUGUUAAUACCGCAUAUGCUCACAGGACCGCAGUGGUCCAGGGAGGAAAGCCGAGACGGUGAAAGGAUGGCUCCGCGUCGGAUUAGCCAGUUGGCGGGGUAACGGCCCACCAAAGCGAUGAGUCCGUAGCCGGCCUGAGAGGGCGACCGGCCACAGUUGGACUGAGACACGGCCCAACUCCUACGGGAGGCAGCAGGUGGGGAUAUUGCACAAUGGGGGGAACCCUGAUGCAAGCGACGCCGCGUGAAGGAGGAAGUGCUUCGGCAUGUAAACUUCUAUCAGCAGGGAAGAAGAUGACGGUACCUGACUAAGAAGCCCCGGCUAACUACGUGCCAGCCGCUGC